AAAGGAAUAGACGGGGGCCCGCACAAGCGGAGGAACAUGUGGUUUAAUUCGAUGAUACGCGAGGAACCUUACCUGGGCUUAAAUGUAGAUUGCAUGACGCGGAAACGCGCUUCCCUUCGGGGCUAUUUACAAGGUGCUGCAUGGUUGUCGUCAGCUCGUGCCGUGAGGUGUCGGGUUAAGUCCCAUAACGAGCGCAACCCUUACCGUUAGUUGCCAGCGGGUCAAGCCGGGGACUCUAGCGGGACUGCCACCGUAAGGUGAGAGGAAGGUGGGGAUGACGUCAAAUCAGCACGGCCCUUAUGUCCAGGGCUACACACGUGUUACAAUGGCCAGUACAAAGGGCAGCUACCGGGUGACCGGGUGCUAAUCUCUAAAGCUGGUCUCAGUUCGGAUCGAAGUCUGCAACCCGACUUCGUGAAGCUGGAUUCGCUAGUAAUCGCGCAUCAGCCAUGGCGCGGUGAAUACGUUCCCGGGCCUUGUACACACCGCCCGU
rnacentral:rRNA from 1 species